rnacentral:lncRNA from 1 species
CUGUGCCUCCUGAUUGCUGAGUGUUCACCUGGAACCUCUGAUGACCUUCUGCUAGUCCAUCAGCCUGCAGACCUGGUACCUGGAUUUUUGUUCACGGUGAUUCCUGCCACCUUACUACUGAAGAAGACACCAUUCCAGUGGACCACUGUGACCCAAGAAGCAUUCGACCAUCAUGAUGUGACCUUUACCUCCACUCCUGUUCUACUCUACCCAGAGUCAGCACAGCCCUUUA